UCUACGGGAGGCAGCAGUGAGGAAUAUUGGUCAAUGGCCGGAAGGCUGAACCAGCCAUGCCGCGUGAAGGUCAGUGCCCUAUGGGCGUUAAACUUCUUUUGUGCGGGAGCAAUAAUGGUCACGUGUGGCCAGACGAGAGUACCGUACGAAUAAGCAUCGGCUAACUCCGUGCCAGCAGCCGCGGUAAUACGGGGGAUGCGAGCGUUAUCCGGAUUUAUUGGGUUUAAAGGGUGCGUAGGCGGAAGGUUAAGUCAGCGGUCAAAUGUCGGUGCUCAACACCGGCCUGCCGUUGAAACUGGUCUUCUUGAGUGAGCGAGAAGUAUGCGGAAUGCGUGGUGUAGCGGUGAAAUGCAUAGAUAUCACGCAGAACUCCGAUUGCGAAGGCAGCAUACCGGCGCUCAACUGACGCUGAGGCACGAAAGCGUGGGGAUCGAACAGGAUUAGAUACCCUUGUAGUC
rnacentral:rRNA from 1 species